CCUACGGGAGGCAGCAGUGGGGAAUAUUGGGCAAUGGGCGCAAGCCUGACCCAGCAAUGCCGCGUGAAGGAAGAAGGCUUUCGGGUUGUAAACUUCUUUGACUGGGGAAGAGCAGAAGACGGUACCCUGAGAACAAGCCACGGCUAACUACGUGCCAGCAGCCGCGGUAAUACGUAGGUGGCAAGCGUUGUGCGGAUUUACUGGGUGUAAAGGGCGUGUAGCCGGGAAGGCAAGUCAGAUGUGAAAUCUGGAGGCUCAACCUCCAAAUUGCAUUUGAAACUGUUUUUCUUGAGUGCUGGAGAGGCAGACGGAAUUCCUUGUGUAGCGGUGAAAUGCGUAGAUAUAAGGAGGAACACCAGUGGCGAAGGCGGUCUGCUGGACAGCAACUGACGGUGAGGCGCGAAAGCGUGGGGAGCAAACAGGAUUAGAUACCCGAGUAGUC
rnacentral:rRNA from 1 species